rnacentral:rRNA from 1 species
UACGAAGGGGGCUAGCGUUGUUCGGAAUCACUGGGCGUAAAGGGCGCGUAGGCGGCUUUGUAAGUCGGGGGUGAAAGCCUGUGGCUCAACCACAGAAUUGCCUUCGAUACUGCAUGGCUUGAGACCGGAAGAGGUUAGUGGAACUGCGAGUGUAGAGGUGAAAUUCGUAGAUAUUCGCAAGAACACCAGUGGCGAAGGCGGCUCACUGGCCCGAUACUGACGCUGAGGCACGAAAGCGUGGGGAGCAAACAGG